ACAACAGAGAAAUAAUGGAGCAAACACAAAUUUACUUACUUUUUAUGGCAAAGUUUGUAAAGAAUCACUAAUGAAGAUGAUAAAUAACCAUAUUCAUCUAGUUUGUUCUUACAUCCACAGGGAGGCACUUGAGAUGGACUAAAGAGUCACGAGCUACUCAGUGUAAACUAAUCCCUGGUGUUGUAUAGGAUUGAUCUGACUCUUGCUACCAUCAAUAUAAUAUAAAAUGACACUGAUACAAGGAGAUGUGUGACCUACAGAAUAUGCCAAAAAACUUUCUCAGCCUGCGUUUUAUGUGUAUUUGACCACAAAGAAGAAAUAAGCUUGAUGAGAAAAUCAGAAGUGAGAUAAGAUGAAACACCACAGCACAAACAAAAGUCUUACUGGCAUUCUGUAUUUUAAUGAAAUAUCAGGUUAAAAUAAAAAACACUUUAAUGAAAGAAGCAGACAUUAAAAAAAAAAAAAAUCACCAUAAAUAUGCUACAUUACCCAAAUCACACUCUGCUCUAGCACAAUCUAGGAAAUCUAAGGGCUGCUUUAGUGUUAGGUCAUACACAAACAUAUGAAGGAUCCGCAUUAAGAGUGAAGAUAUCCCGAAUGUGCAGUGGAAAAUCUAAAUGUGAAUCAACUCCAGAUUAAUGCUUCUCAACACUAUCCAGCUUAAGACUUAUGAGCAAACACUGCACUCAUACACACUCUCACCCGAACACACACUAAAAGGUAUACCUUCAAGCGGAAGACUUACCCCAGGUUACGAAUUACAAGACUUUUGUGGGCUUUUUGGGCAAAAUAUGAAAAAGUUUUACUAAUCUUAAAAACAUUAACUCAUAAAAAAGCCCAUCUCGCUUCUCUAAGCGUUCCCAUACCCUCACAUCAAAAAAGAAGGGAUCUCUGGAUUAAACAAGCCUAAAUAAUUCACUCAAUUUGGGUCAUUUACAUCUAAAUAUGCACCUUAAAGUCAAAAGGAAAACCCAAAUACCUGCAUCCAGUGUUUAAGAAGAUCAGAUUAUUUGACUUGCACGGGCCUGCCCACCACAGGGCGAGGCCGUCUCAGUGGUUUAAUCACUAAUACGCGUGCUCAAAACGUAACACCAGCUGGUGCCCCGUGUGACUACAACUCCCAAGUUUUCACACGCAAACCCCGCACUCAUUCAGUCCAUGUCCUCCUGCACAACUAGCACUUAGGACAGCAUUAUCAGCAAAUGUGUUGUCGUGGUUGCUGAAAAAAAA